rfam:Schistosoma curassoni strain Dakar, Senegal genome assembly, scaffold: SCTD_scaffold0000020
AUCUAACUGACGAGUCUUAAAUAGGACGAAACGUGUAUCCUGAAU